UGGUUUUAUUUUCCAAAUUUCUCUAAGUUUUCAUUGUUUAGUGUAUAAAUACUCGUUUCUGGUUUUGAUCUGACAUGAUAACAUGUACAUGUGUCUCAUUGUCAAGUGCCUUUUUUUAUCUGCUUGGAAGCAUUUUAGUUCUGGCGUGUUUGUAUUCAUGGCUCCUUGUAAAGUGCGGUUUUCUAUUCCCUGAGCUGCUGGUGGUUGUGUGCGUGCAGAGGUGGAGUGUGGUGGUGAAGAUGGUGACAGCAGUGGGAGGCGGGUAGGGCGGCAUGGAGGAGGAGAUGAGCCAAGAUGGCCACUUCCAGGAGCUCACCUCUCUCAACUCUGUGCUAUCUUCUACGUACUCCCCUCACCUCCUGAUGCCCAUGGAUAAGGUAGGGAAGAAUGAUAAGGUGCCCACACGCGUCCAUCGGCGAACCUUAGCAGCGGUGCGUUCUCAAGAACGUUGUUGCUGGCCGUACCUUGGAGCGGAGACGACACCGUCCCCAACAUGUUUGGCUGGCAGAAGCUCUGCAUCGCCUCCCCCAGCCUGAGUUGCCCCUCUGGUGGACUAGAUAAAGAGAAUUUGUGCCUCUACAGUCACCUCGACGCAGAUAAGAAGAGAAGAGAGACUUGGCCUUCUUGCAUCAUGCUCGACCAUGGUGUCCUGCUCGCGUUUGUCUUCCUAUGACCCCUGGUAAAGAUAAGGAGACUUUGUGCCCCUACAGCAAUCGUGGGAGCUGGGAGGUGUCGCUGUUGGCCGAGGAGGUGCCGCCUGGGCUGACGCUCAGCAUCAAUUUCGCUCGUCACCGCCCACUCCGACUCGUGGCUCCUCUCAGCUGCAUUCUUCCUCAGCAUGCCGCUGAGUGCCUAACUAGCGAUAAGGAGAAUUUGUGCCUCUACGUCCACCCCGACAUAGAUAAGAAGAGGAGAGACGUGGCCUUCCUGCAUCAUGCUCGACCAUGUUGUCAUGCUCGCGUUUUGUCGUCCUCUUCCCCCCUGUAAUGGUAAGCUUGUUGCAGUAAGAUGAGUAGAUAUGUCUCUCUCAGUUAUGAAAUUUGUAAUUGGGACUGCUUUCUAGUAGGUUUGGCUUAGGUGUGCUUUUGCAAACUAGUCAGAUGACACAAUAGUAUGAACCUUUAAAA